UUGAAUCCCAUAUUUGGCUCGUAGGCUCCUACUUUCCUCCAUUGUUACGCUCCAUUAACAAUGGCUACGCCAACCAAAACCCCAACUAGUACUUCCAUUUCCAAAAAACACCACCACAACAAGCACCAUUCAUCCGAUCCAAACAGAUCGAGUUCCGAAUUCAAGGACCGAUUCGAAGCCUACAAUCGCCUUCAAGCAGCCGCCGUGGCGUUCGGUGAGAAACUUCCGAUUCCUGAAAUAGUUGCCAUUGGCGGACAAUCUGAUGGGAAAAGUUCACUCCUUGAAGCCUUAUUGGGUUUCCGGUUCAAUGUUCGAGAAGUUGAAAUGGGUACCCGAAGACCUCUUAUAAUGCAAAUGGUUCAUGACCCGACCGCUUUAGAGCCUCGUUGCCGCUUUCAGGAGGAGGAUUCAGAAGAAUAUGGAAGUCCUAUUGUCUUGGCCUCUGCAAUUGCGGAUACCAUAAAGUCUCGGACUGAAUCACUUUUGAAAAGGACUAGAGCCGCAGUCUCUUCACAGCCCAUUGUGAUGAGAGCAGAAUAUGCCCAUUGUCCUAAUCUUACAAUCAUUGAUACACCUGGCUUUGUUCUAAAAGCGAAGAAAGGUGAACCAGAGAGAACACCUGAUGAGAUUUUAUCCAUGGUGAAGUCACUAGCCAGUCCGCCCCAUCGAAUUAUUCUGUUCCUUCAGCAAAGCAGUGUGGAAUGGUGCUCAUCUUUAUGGCUGGACACUAUUAGAGAGAUUGAUCCAACCUUUAGGAGGACAGUGAUUGUUGUCUCCAAAUUCGAUAACCGGCUCAAGGAGUUCACUGACCGCUGGGAAGUAGAUCGGUAUUUGAGUGCAAGUGGUUAUCUUGGGGAGAAUACUCGUCCCUUUUUUGUCGCCUUGCCUAAGGAUCGAGGCACAAUUUCCAAUGAUGAGUUUCGCCGUCAAAUAUCUCAAGUGGACGCAGAGAUGUUACACUAUUUGCGUGAUAGUGUUAAAGGUGGGUUUGAUGAAGACAAAUACAGGUCCUAUAUUGGGUUUGGUUGUCUAAGAGAUUUUUUGGAGGCUGAGCUCCAGAGAAGAUACAAAGAAGCUGCACCAGCAACACUUGCUCUGCUUGAACAGCGAUGUGGCGAAGUCACUGCUGAAAUAGCUAGAAUGGAGUGCAAGAUAAAUGCAACAUCUGAUGUUGCACAUCUUCGGAAAUCUGCCAUGUUGCAUGCUGCCACUUUAUGCAAUCAUGUGGAGGCACUUAUUGAUGGUGCAGCAGAUCCAGCCCCUGAGCAAUGGGGGAAAACAACCGAGGAGGAACGGUCAGAGAGCGGUAUCGGCAGUUGGCCUAGUGUUAUAGCUGAGAUUAAACCUCCAAAUGCGACCCUUCGCCUUUAUGGUGGUGCUGCCUUUGAGAGGGUGAUGCAUGAAUUCCGAUGCGCAACAUAUUCAAUUAAAUGUCCCCCUGUGUCAAGGGAGAAGGUGGCUAACAUUUUGCUUGCUCAUACUGGCCGUGGUGGGGGUAGAGGAAUUACUGAGGCAGCGGCAGAGAUUGCACGAGCUGCAGCUCGAUCUUGGCUUGCUCCUCUUCUUGACACAGCUUGUGAUCGUUUGGCCUUUGUUUUGGGCAACCUCUUCGAGAUUUCUAUUGAGAAAAAUCAUGGACAUGACUCCAACCAUGGACAUAGAUCAGUGGAUAUGGAAGGAUACAUUGGUUUUCAUGCCGCUCUAAGGCAAUCCUACAACCAUUUCAUGAAAGAUCUAUCCAAAGAGUGCAAACAACUACUCCGUCAUCAUCUUGAUUCAGUUACAAGCCCAUAUUCUCAUGUCUGCUACGAGAACAACUUCAUAAUCGGGAGUUUCUCCUCUGGCUCAAUGUACCAAUUAAAUCAAGCCUCAGCUGGUCCAUUAUGUCUCGAGCUAUCUGAUGGGGGGCCUGCAUUGCGCAAAGAAGCUAUGAAAGGCCAAGAAAACUUGCCCCCUGAAAAAAAUACUCAGGAAAUCACACCUGGAAAAGUUACAGAAAACAGGGAGGCCCUACGAGAAUGCCAAAUGACUGUGCCCGAAACCCCAUCUCCUGACCAACCUUCCGAUGGAAAUUAUGGUAUCAAAAGAGAACUUGGAAAUUGUGUCGAGGUUGGAGCAAGAAAACGCCACCCUAGGAUUACAGGCAAUGCUAGAAAUAUUGGCCAAAAUGGUGAGAGCCUAUUGUUUGGGAAUGGGGACAACAUAUCAAGACCGGUCUCUACUUAUGCAGAGAUAUGCUCAUCAGCUGCCCAGCAUUUUGCUCGCAUACGUGAAGUUCUGGUAGAGCGCAGCGUGGCAUCAACAUUGAAUUCUGGAUUUUUAACUCCAUGUCGAGAACGGCUUUUUGUAGCACUUGGGUUGGACUUGUUUGCUGUAAAUGAUGAAAAAUUCAUGGACAUGUUUGUCGCACCUGGAGCUAUAGAUUCUCUAGAAAAUGAGCGGCAAUCACUUCAGAAGCGACAGAAAAUCCUGCAUUCUUGCUUGAAUGAGUUCAAAAGUGUGGCUAGAGCACUUUGACAGAUAACCAAUUUUCAGUUAUUUGUCAUUGUUGGCUGACAGCUUAUUUGGCUUCACAUCUGGUGAAUCCAACUAUGCUCAGUCCUUUGAUGAUUGAAGCAAAGUGCAAAUGUAUUGGAAAAGCUUUCAUGUUUCAACAUUGUAUAACUUCCUUGAAAUGAUGGUGAUCAUAACGUCUAAAGAAAAUUUCAGCUUUAAUCCCUCCUUUAUACUCUAUAUGUACUGUUUAUCUUGUAAUUGUUGGAUCUUGCACAUUUUAGUUCCAAUUUGUCAAAGUGUG